rfam:Salmo salar isolate Sally breed double haploid chromosome ssa19, whole genome shotgun sequence.
UGGCUCAGUUGGUAGAGCAUGGUGUUUGCAAUGCCAGCAUGGCGUGUGCAAUGCCAGGGUUGUGGGUUCAAUUCCCAU